rnacentral:rRNA from 1 species
CGGCAAUAGCUCAAAUUUGAAAGCUGGCGUCUUCGACGUCCGCGUUGUAAUUUGUAGAGGAUGCUUCGGCGAAGACUCCUGCCUAAGUCCCCUGGAACGGGGCGUCAUAGAGGGUGAGAAUCCCGUAUGUGGCGGGCAGUCUAAGCCAUGUGAAGCUCCUUCGAC